rnacentral:rRNA from 1 species
GUAAGAUCCCUGAAAGAUGAUCAGGUUGAUAGGUCAGAGGUGGAAGCACGGCGACGUGUGUAGCUGACUGAUACUAAUCGAUCGAGGACUUAACCAAAU